GCUGGGUGUGGUAGCACACGCCUGUAAUCCCAGCAGCUCGGGAGGCUGAGACAGGAGGAUUGCAAGUUCAAAGCCAGUCUCAG
rnacentral:sRNA from 1 species